CUCAGCUUCAGUGUGUUGAUGGGCACAGCCAUUGUUACCACAGCUGGAGUUGGUAUACGCGGAGCUGUGAGAGGACAGAGAUGGCGAACGGACAUUUAACUAUUUAACAGGAGAUACGUUAUGACUAAUAGACGACUACUGUUUAAAUGAUGUCUUUGCAGCCCUUAUGGCACACGUUACACAACUUUUCUUCAUGCCAGCAAGACUGAGGUGCCCACAUAGUUGACACAUACAACUGAUUAUGAAUGCAUAUUUUACUAUUCCUAUUUUCACAUCAUCUCCUUGGCUUUAUUAGUGAAAGCCUGGAGAUACUCUGACUUGUGCAUGGCUGAUGUGAAGUAUGAUUAGUACUACAUGACUUACACCAUCAACAACAGAGGCAAUGAAAGCUUUGUUGUUAACAGGGCGUGAUGUGGACCUCAGCGCUGAGGUGCAGUUCUCCUUGGAGACCGGCAUCCUGGCUGAAAAUAUUAUCAUGCUUCCAAAACAUGGUACUUUCAGCUUUUAUUUUGAAAGAAACAAAACUUGAAAACGAAUCCCCUUAUUCCUCUUUUUAUUUGUUCUUCAGAGGAGUGUCACCUGGCCAAACUCAGGGAUAUUCUAGGGCCUUUGUUAUUAUUUGACUCCAUAUAAAUAAAACUGAAUUGAAU
ensembl:lncRNA